rnacentral:rRNA from 1 species
CCUACGGGUGGCAGCAGUGGGGGAUAUUGCACAAUGGGGGAAACCCUGAUGCAGCGACGCCGCGUGGGCGAAGGAGUAUUUUGGGAUGUAAAGCCCUAUCAGCGGGGAAGAAGAAAUGACAGUACCUGCGAAAGAAGCAACGGCUAAAUAGGUGCCAGCAGCCGCGGUAAUACGGAUGGUGCAAGCGUAAUCCGGAUUUACUGGGUGGAAGGGGAGCGCAGGUGGGACGGCAAGCCAGAUGUGAAAGCCCGCGGCCGAACCGCGGGACUGCAUUGGAAACUUCCGGGCUGGAGUGCCGGAGAGGUAGGCGGAAUUCCUGGUGUAGCGGUGAAAUGCGUAGAUAUUAGGAGGAACACCAGUGGCGAAGGCGGCUUACUGGACGGUGACUGACGCUGAGGCACGAAAGCGUGGGGAGCAAACAGGAUUAGAUACCCUUGUAGUC